AACACAUGCAAGUCGAACGAUGAUCCCGGUGCUUGCACCGGGGAUUAGUGGCGAACGGGUGAGUAACACGUGAGUAACCUGCCCUUAACUCUGGGAUAAGCCUGGGAAACUGGGUCUAAUACCGGAUAUGACUCCUCAUCGCAUGGUGGGGGGUGGAAAGCUUUAUUGUGGUUUUGGAUGGACUCGCGGGCUAUCAGCUUGUUGGUGAGGUAAUGGCUCACCAAGGCGACGACGGGUAGCCGGCCUGAGAGGGUGACCGGCCACACUGGGACUGAGACACGGCCCAGACUCCUACGGGAGGCAGCAGUGGGGAAUAUUGCACAAUGGGCGAAAGCCUGAUGCAGCGACGCCGCGUGAGGGAUGACGGCCUUCGGGUUGUAAACCUCUUUCAGUAGGGAAGAAGCGAAAGUGACGGUACCUGCAGAAGAAGCGCCGGCUAACUACGUGCCAGCAGCCGCGGUAAUACGUAGGGCGCAAGCGUUAUCCGGAAUUAUUGGGCGUAAAGAGCUCGUAGGCGGUUUGUCGCGUCUGCCGUGAAAGUCCGGGGCUCAACUCCGGAUCUGCGGUGGGUACGGGCAGACUAGAGUGAUGUAGGGGAGACUGGAAUUCCUGGUGUAGCGGUGAAAUGCGCAGACAUCAGGAGGAACACCGAUGGCGAAGGCAGGUCUCUGGGCAUUAACUGACGCUGAGGAGCGAAAGCAUGGGGAGCGAACAGGAUUAGAUACCCUGGUAGUCCAU
rnacentral:rRNA from 1 species